rnacentral:rRNA from 1 species
AUUGAACGCUCGCGGCAGGCCUAACACAUGCAAGUCGAGCGGCAGCGGGAAAGUAGCUUGCUACUUUUGCCGGCGAGCGGCGGAUGGGUGAGUAAUGCCUGGGAAAUUGCCCAGCCGAGUGGGAUAACAGUUGGAAACGACUGCUAAUACCGCAUACGCCCUACGGGGGGAAGAAGGGGACCUUCGGGCUUUGCGCGAUUGGAUAUGCCCAGGUGGGAUUAGCUAGUUGGUGAGGUAAUGGCUCACCAAGGCGACGAUCCCUAGCUGGUCUGGGAGGAGGAUCAGCCACACUGGAACUGAGACACGGUCCAGACUCCUACGGGAGGCAGCAGUGGGGAAUAUUGCACAAUGGAGGAAACCCUGAUGCAGCCAUGCCGCGUGUGUGAAGAAGGCCUUCGGGUUGUAAAGCACUUUCAACGAGGAGGAAAGGUUGAUGCCUAAUACGUAUCAACUGUGACGUUACUCGCAGAAGAAGCACCGGCUAACUCCGUGCCAGCCGCCGCCGUAA